CCCCGAAUAGCUCAGCUGGAAGAGCGUUCGGCUGUAACUGAUACCAUUGACACCGAAAGGUCGCUUGUUCGAUCCAGGCUUCGGGGA
rnacentral:tRNA from 1 species